AGCUUAGUUGAUAGAGCAAUUGUUUCGUAAUCAAUAGGUCGGGGGUUUGAAUCCCUUC
rnacentral:tRNA from 1 species